UAAGACGUAGGAGGCGAGCGUUAUCCGGAUUCACUGGGCGUAAAGCGCAUGUAGGCGGUUGUGCAAGUCGUGUGUGAAAGUCCCCGGCUCAACUGGGGAAGGUCAUGCGAAACUGUGCGACUCGAGGGCAGGAGAGGAACGUGGAACUCCCGGUGUAGCGGUGGAAUGCGUAGAGAUCGGGAAGAACACCAGUGGCGAAGGCGACGUUCUGGUCUGCACCUGACGCUGAGAUGCGAAAGUGUGGGUAGCAAACGGG
rnacentral:rRNA from 1 species